UACGGAGGGGGCUAGCGUUGUUCGGAAUUACUGGGCGUAAAGCGCACGUAGGCGGCUUUGUAAGUUAGAGGUGAAAGCCCAGGGCUUAACCCUGGAAUUGCCUUUAAGACUGCAUCGCUAGAAUCGUGGAGAGGUGAGUGGAAUUCCGAGUGUAGAGGUGAAAUUCGUAGAUAUCGGGAGGAACACCGGUGGCGAAGGCGGCCAUCUGGACGGAUACUGACGCUGAGACGCGAAAGCGUGGGGAGCAAACAGG
rnacentral:rRNA from 1 species